GCCCACGUAGCUCAAUCGGUAGAGCAGCCGUCUCGUAAGCGGCAGGUACCCGGUUCAACUCCGGGCGUGGGCU
rnacentral:tRNA from 1 species